CGCGGGAUGGUGAAAUGGUAUCACGUGUGGCUCAUAACCAUAGAUUGCUAGUUCGACUCUAGCUCCCGCAA
rnacentral:tRNA from 2 species